GCUUAUUGAGAAUAAUGCACACCAAAUAGCCAUAGUAGGCUGACUGGUUUUCCCGAUUUUAAGAAGGUAUUACAUGAUUUAUUUCGAUGUUUUUCAACCUUUUUUGUUUAAUUAUUACUAACAAGGUGGCAGUAAUGCACGCCUAUAUAGUUGUAAUGGGCUUGCUGAUUUUCCUAGAUUUAGUAAGGUAUUUCCAAGUUUUUUAUUUUAUUUUACCGGUUUAGUAGUUUUUCUUUACCUGUUUACCUUUUUCUUUUUUUAUUUUCAUAAUUCAUCAAUAUUUUUAAGGUUCACCAACAAUUUUAAAUAUGUGAACCUUUUUCCAAAUUUGUGAAUAUAAUAUUUUUAUAUUCAUGAUUUUUUAAGUCGAAACAUUUUAAAAUGUGAGUGAACUUCUUUUGAUUUAACAAAAAAAUUUCAAAUAAAAAUAUGAUAUCCAUUUUUUAGCUAGCAAUUGAGCGAACAAAAACAAGCUAAGCGAACGAGCAAAACAGGGAGCCGAGCUAAGCUAGCGAGAGAUUCAUGGACUAGCCCAUGUGAGCGUUAUAGCAGCGAUUAGACGAUUUCAACAUAGAAUAAGAGGUCUCAAGGGGCUCACACAUCCUCUUUUUUGUUUAUGUAGUGGCAAGAAAACAUAUUAUAACUAUUUUUAUUUAUGCUUGAUUAACCCAUUGAUUGUAUUUUUUAUUCAUCAUGUGAACCGAACAAAUCAGUCUAUAAUUUUUUUUAUCUUUUUUGUGCAACUCUUUUGUUUGUUCCAUCCACAUGUUUUAAGAAUCCUCCAAACCAAAGGGACCUUCAUGGGAAUUUUGGACGAUCUGAAUGCUAAAAUAUCUGCCUCCUAUGAAAUCCCUUCGGAUCAUGGGGUUGUGCUACCGACCCUAUGCAAUUCACUCAUAUACACAAGUGCUCAAAAUUUAUUUCACUUUUCAUUUUGUGAAGUCAAAUACUCUCUCUCUCUCUCUCUCUCUCUCUCUCUCUCUCUCUCUCUCUCUCUCUCUCUCUCUCCCCCGGCACGUGCAAUACAAAGUAAUCUCUGAAAAGAAUCUUGCGUUCAAAAAUCACAUGUUCUAAUCUAUUUUGACGUUUCCAAAUGUUUGCUCUCCAAAGAGGCCCUUGUCUGGGCAUGUCUGUGUCCUUGGUUGGUAACGUGCGUCUAUCAUGUAAUUCGGUAAUGGAAUGCAACAUGUAAUUACUACUUCAUCCGUUUCAAAAUAGAUGACCCAAUUUUAUACCUCCGUUAUGAUAUUCCUCGUAGUAAGGACUAGAUAGAGAUUCGAAAAAAAGGGCUAGAGAGAGGACAAGAUUAAACUAGUCCGUAAUGCAUGGGAGUGCAUGCAUGCAUGCAUGAGCUGGUGGUUCCCUGGUCCUCCUUGUCUUGUGCAUCACAAAGUCCAACACCCCCAAUGUGCAAACCAGUUCAACUCCCACAGCACCUACGAAGCACCGAUAUGCCAGAAACCUGUGUAUCGGCAUACCGAACGUCGCCGAUACGGCGAUACGCACGAUACGGCUGCGAUACGGGUAUCGGCGAAGUAUCUUAUUUUCUGAUUUAAAAAGAAAAGAGAAAACGUGGAUACGUCCUGUGCAUCCUCUACGAUACGGGAGGGACACGGCAGCCCAGUAGAAGUAGAAGGCCCAUGGCUAACCCUAGCAUCAGCCCAGUAGAGUACGACAGGAGCUUGCACGAGUGUACCGCCGCCACUGGACAGUCCUCCCCGCCGGCCGCCACCACAGACUGGAGUCGCUCGCCGCCUGUAGUGGCUCGCCGGCGCCGCCUGGAAUUGCCUCGCUGCUGCCUCGGCCCUCGGUUGACUCGAAUCUUCUCCGGCACCGUCGCCAGUCGUGAUCCAUUCAUGUUUUUUUCUUCGUCAAUGACUCUGGGGUCCCUGUUCUUGUUACGAACGGGGUGGACGAUGCUUGGCUGGCUGGUUAGUUCUCGCAGAUUACUGCUAUACUGCUACUUCCUAGUUCCUACUGCUUGCUGAUGUUACUGUUUAGCAUAGGUGCAUACUACUGCUUGCUUUAGUAUUGCUUGUUUGCUACUGCUUGCUAGUUUGGAACAAGGAAGUGUAUAUUCCUUUGGCAAGCUCAAGCCAAUUUGUUUAACGUUUUUCACUUUUCAUGUCUAUUUAUCUCAAAUUGACAAAGUGUAAUAUCAUAUAAUGUAUUUUCUGUUUUGCAUACACCAUGAUGAGUUGAGGACCUAGAUGAUCAUUUAGGACUUGAAAAGAGGCAUGUAGGAAAUCAGGCAACCAAUGGGGCAGUAUUGUGAUCUCAUCUCACACAUUCCAUCAUGUUUUGUCUUUAUUACUUGUCAUUUUAUAUUAUUAUUUAUAUAUACUUGCCGUAUCGCCGUAUUGUUGUUUCUAGAAAUUGCCGUUUCCCGUAUCGCCGUACUCAUAUCGCCGUAUCCGUGUCGCCGUAUCGGUGCUUCAUAACACAGCACACGGCCUCCUUCCCAUCCUGGCUGGAUGCAAGCAUGCCAUGUUCAGUUACCAUCUUAAUUUACAUAUUAAGUAGUACUUCAAUGCCUUUUCACAUGUUCCUCAGAGGGAUCAUCUUCGGACCAGCACGUGUAUCUCCUAAAAAGUCUCCGUACGUACAGCUUGCAAAUUAAACCGCAAGGUGUCCAUGUUCAUCCGACAAGCAUUUUGCUUUUCAAUGCGAGGACGAUCUAACUGAAUCUCAUUAUUAUUUUUCUGGAAUAGCAGAUGCAUGCAUUCGGAAUGCCAAGCUUCGCCAUUGAGUCUCCAGAAUGGCAGAUCGAUCUGGAGCUUGAGGUUGAGCCUUCUUCAAGCCCGAGCACGGGGGCUUCUGCUGACAACGAACUCUCGAGGUCGUUCAUCCAGGCACGGGACAGCUGACGGCGAUGAGACCAUGGUUGCGCUCCCUCGAUUAGGUGAGGGGUUGAUCAUCGGCUUCAUCGUCACACAUCACUGGCUAGCUACUCUGGCUCACCCAUCAAUCCAUCCAUCAUCAUUCCCUUGACGAUGCACAUCACGACACCCGGCCAUACAUGAAAGGAAACGGCUCCGGUACGAUCAUGUCCCACUUUUAGUGGCAAACCGACCUAUUCUCGAGCUAGUGCAAAGAAGCUAGCCAGAACAGGUCAGCGGUAGUUGCCCCGUCAACGUCGGUUCAAAGAUCAAUGCUACUGGUAACUGCGACUUGUGCCGUCAUUUCGUGCCCCGAUUCGCAACCUAGCUGGCUAGCUAGCAAGGAAGCUUCACGUAUCACAGUCGGUCGAUGUGGACUCCGUCUCACGUGGAGGAGACAAAACACGAGAGGAAACAGGGAAAUUCACAAGCAGGGAUCGGUAGUUGGAUCCUAUAAAACGUACUGCUCAUACUAGCCAUCCUACUAGUACUUUGUUUCGCAAACUUGAUCAAAAUUUACAAAGUUGGGCCUUUAAAAAAGUUCUACACGCACUACAUUAUGGAAUAGAUGAAGUAUUGCUUAUGCUCAUAUGCAACGUUGAAGAAAAGAUGACGAAUCGUCAUUGAUGGGAACGACAUUUUGUGUGUUUAAUGUGCUGAAAGCAACAUCUUCCAUCCACGAAAACGAGUCCGGGAAAGGAAUACUUGCAUGGUCGCACAGAUGCACAUCAUGUCCCUAAAGAAUGACAAUCACGCUUUGCUUGGGUGAUCACUCGAACCAUCUAAACAGAUGGCCGUCGACAUAUCUGUGUUUAUUGUAUGUUGGAUUAUACUCCGUACGUCUCAUAUUAGUUGUAGCUCAAAUGGAUAUAUCUAACACUAAAAUAUAUUUAGAUACAUCAAUUUCAGCGACAACUAAUAUGGAAUGGAGGAACGAUCUGCAAAUACAAGGGUCGCAAGGGAUUAUGGUGUUCAUAUUCUGGAACUAAUAUGCAGUAGAUUAGUAGAAGAAAAACAUACGAUUAAACAAUCAGACACGACCAUAUCUCAAGGGUAUUAUGGACUUUUCAACAAACAGAUGACAUCAGCCAUAAAUGAUUAAACUACAUUGUCAACUUGUGUGUUCUCACCGUUGUUUCUAUGUAUAGCCAAAUUUAAGCCAUUUUGAAAAGAAAAAAAUCAGCCAAAUUACAUUCAAACACUGCAAUCUAAUAAGAACUAGUAGAGUGCCCGUGCGUUGCCACGGGCACUUGAAAUAGUUUACCAGAGUUACAUGUUAAAAUCCACACAUACAAACAAUAUAACACAAACUGAAGUCCAUUAUUGCAAUGUAACAAGCUGAGUGAUGUUACAACUUAACAUCUAUUACAAAAAUACUAAUAUCUAGAUGAUGCGCUUAAGAAAUUCUUUCACAAUAUCAGGAAAGUUUCCUCUAGCUUCAUUCCCGCGAUGUUUUAGCAAGUAUAAUAAAAAAUGCUUCGUCAAUUCAUACCCAUCCUGCAGAAAAAAUAAAUGUAGUUAGUAUGAAAAAUUCACGGAGAAGGUCUUAAAACAUGUAACCCACAAUACUCACCGCGCAAACCGGCUUGACCAAUUCUUUACCGUUCCACCAGAGCAUAAAAUGAAAAACAAAAUAGCCAGACACAUUCCUGGAAAACUUUCAAUUAAUAUUAUAAAUAAUAUAAUGAUAACAAAAGUAAAUAUUCUUGUUAUGAAUUCAUUACCCGUCUAUACUCGUUGGAACACCGGCCGGAAAUAAACGAUGCCAUUUAGAUAUAUCAAAAUUCCACGCAGGCAGCUUUAUUUCGAGUGCUUCUUUGAAAUCCCUUGAAAAACUUUUUAAUUUCAGUGAAUGCCUCAAGUUUUUAUCCUCUGACGAUUGUGAUGAUUGAAUAUGAUCCAUAAUAUAUAGACGACGUGCCUCUUUGUCGAUGAUGUACAGGAUGUAUCGGCCGAUGGAUGCAUAGGGAAGAUAAAUCUACAAGUGGAGCUAUUAGAAACAAAAACAAACCAUGAUAACAAUGGUCAAUAUAUUUUAUUUACCUUAUUGCAAGAUGAGAUGUCGGUCUCCAUCCCAGGCCAGCUAUCAAAUAAUGUUGCCAACGUCUGGAUAGUUUCCUUCUCACAAAAUUUCUGACCUCGUGUUGACUCUAGCAGCAUGGACUAAGUAAAAAAAAAAUAUUGUUUCAACAUGUUGAUACUAAUGGCGCCUAGAAUGAAGAGUUACGGUAACUUACACAAAAUCGUAGAUCCAUGUAGUGUAUAGGAGGGUCUGUGAACAAUACUCCCUCGUCACAUGCCAGCAUAAGCACGGCGGUGUUGAAGCAAUCAUUGUCCAUGGGCUGCUCCAUGUUAAGUAUGCACUGAAGUUUCUUAAGACUUAAGCUCAUUGGAUCGGGUGUGGAGCUCCGGACCCAUACCUUCCUGUAAUUUGGAUGGUAAGAAGAACAAUAAUAUACAUCCGCACAUUAAAUAUUGAUACAUGAUACUUACUCCAAACAUCCAGCAUCAUUGAUCGACAUGAUGUAGUUGCAGAGGCCGGCAAGUAUUUCACGUUGGUCCGUGGGAAUGAUAGUGAUUGGGGCGGGACGUUUCUCUUCGACCACGUCAGAUGGAUUAUCCAGGAUCUCAAGAUCAGAAUUAGCUAAAGUUUCUUCGUUGAGAGGUUGAUGGUACAUGGGACAUCCUUUUAACUUAUUAAGCUCUGAAUCGAGCAAAAUAAUUGCUAAUUUUUGUCGAAAAUGUUUCAUAUCCUCCUACAAAGAAAAUAUGAAAACAAUUUAUAAGAUAUUUUGAUAAAAAAUUAUGAGAUAAUGUAUAAAACUGAAAUACCUGCGUAAACUGGUCUGACAGUCCAUGUGGUGUCCAGUAUUCCAUAUAAUUUAGCGUAAACAAUCCACAUGAUACGCUAUAAUAUUAUAAAAUAAUGCUUCAGAAUAUCACACAGAUGAAUCUAAAAACAAACCAUUGUAACAAGUGCUUAUCCAUCGGUUUGUAUUGCCUACUGAAUUUGCUCUACAAACGUCCAUUUUGUAACAUUGAGAUCAGGCCACUUAUGACCUUUGAUAAACUCCGGACUAUGCUCUAUAAGUUUCAGCCAUUUCUCGAGCCCUAGCAACUAUUUUAUAUAUGAGAAAUGUUAAGGAUGAAGUCAAACAAAAUAAAUGCUAAGAUGAGAAAAGAAAUAGAUAUUUACCGUAGUAGCAAGGUCAUUGCGUUUGACAUUCUCACCAAGUGAGUCCAAUACUUGGAUUUCUCGUUUUUUGGCGUUGGCAACUGCUAGAUAUCAAUGGUAGCCCGGCAUGUUAAUCGGAAUGAAUAACUGGUGUAAAUAAGAUACAAGUCACAGUCAUAAUUAGAUAUAGUUAUUAAUAAAUCAUUAAACAUAUGAACUAAAUAAAAACAAUCCAUAAUUAUAUGCAUGGAUUACGAGACAAAAACUAACCAUAUCUUGUUGUAGAUAACAAUUAACAUGACGCACGAUGCGACAAUAUUUUGAUGGGUCUAUGUCUCUUUCCUCGUCUUCUUUUAUCUGGCCCGAUACAAACAUGCUAAUAAUGUGUACCUUUUCACCCGCCCUGAUUUGUAGAUGGUCGUGAGCAAGCAUGCAAUAUAUGUAAGCAUUUAUCACCUGUAAUGGGCAUUUAGAUUAUAUUUAUAUUUUAUGAUAUUAUAUAUUGUUCGUAUUAUUAAUUACAAAGUUUGUGCAAUUGGUCUUACACCGUCAUGUAAGAACAUAUCAUCUUUAAUAAGGCAUUCCAAAUCGUCGGUUGAUAACAAGGCAUCUCCAAUGUCUACGAACUGGGUAUUCUUCGGGGCAGACUUGAUUGAUUCGAUGACUGUAAUAUCCCUAGCGGUACAAACAUAGUCUGUCGAAUUCAUAAAAAUAUGAGCCAACUUAACAAUCAAAAUGAGCAAAAUUAGUUCAAUACAAAAGACAAUAUUACAAAAAUAAGAUUGAUAAUAAUAUAUAAAAAAUACCUUGUGGGAUAAUAUGUAAAUUAGCAUCCUUUUUUGGUUUGUUAUGAGAUAUAACCUCUUUGACAUUUUUAUGUUGUGAAUCUUCGUCCCCUUUCAGCGACAUCGCAUCUGAACCCUCAAUGGAUUCUUUCCGUGCAUCUCCAAAGUCCAUAUCCAUGUCUCCUGUAUUCAAAAAAAAAGAAAAAAAAGAAAGCCCUUCCGUAUUAUCAUCUAUAAGAUACAUACAGAGGAAGGUUAGCUAUAUGCACCUCUUCUCGUGGUGUUUCACUGUGGUCUGUCAUCGUUUCAUCAGUGAGUAUGUCGGAACCCAUCAAUUUAUAUCUAUGCUGAAAUAUAAUUAAUACUUUUUACUGCAUCAUAAAAUUAUACAUAAUAUAUGAUAAAACUGAAUGUGAAACUAACACAACUGUUUUCUCUGCUAAUAAAAAUAGUAUUUGGUUAUAUUAGGAAAAAAUGACGCUUAGAUCAUUUUACUAACACAACAAAUCGGGGAAAACAACAAAAUAUAAUGUUCAUAUAUAAGUAAUUAAGCGUCUGAAAUUGCUUAAGUUAUUUUAAAUUAUUUGUAUAGGCUAUGGAAAAUUGCCAUACAGAAACUAAAACAAACAAACCAACAUUAACCAAGUAUAUUUAUUUUUUAUAUGAUUUGUUUUGUGAUACCCUUAGUAUAUGUCAUAAGAAUAUAAAUAUUUAUUUUUAUGCACCAUAUUUAGUAUAUAUAUUCAAAUUUGUUUAAUUUUUGAGGUAUGUAUACUGUAAAUAUAUAUGAUAUUUUGUGAGGUAUAAAAAUAAUUACAAAAAAAAAUUCAGACGUCCACUAAUAACAAAUAUACCAUGAUGAAAUAUUUAAGNNNNNNNNNNNNNNNNNNNNNNNNNNNNNNNNNNNNNNNNNNNNNNNNNNNNNNNNNNNNNNNNNNNNNNNNNNNNNNNNNNNNNNNNNNNNNNNNNNNNNNNNNNNNNNNNNNNNNNNNNNNNNNNNNNNNNNNNNNNNNNNNNNNNNNNNNNNNNNNNNNNNNNNNNNNNNNNNNNNNNNNNNNNNNNNNNNNNNNNNNNNNNNNNNNNNNNNNNNNNNNNNNNNNNNNNNNNNNNNNNNNNNNNNNNNNNNNNNNNNNNNNNNNNNNNNNNNNNNNNNNNNNNNNNNNNNNNNNNNNNNNNNNNNNNNNNNNNNNNNNNNNNNNNNNNNNNNNNNNNNNNNNNNNNNNNNNNNNNNNNNNNNNNNNNNNNNNNNNNNNNNNNNNNNNNNNNNNNNNNNNNNNNNNNNNNNNNNNNNNNNNNNNNNNNNNNNNNNNNNNNNNNNNNNNNNNNNNNNNNNNNNNNNNNNNNNNNNNNNNNNNNNNNNNNNNNNNNNNNNNNNNNNNNNNNNNNNNNNNNNNNNNNNNNNNNNNNNNNNNNNNNNNNNNNNNNNNNNNNNNNNNNNNNNNNNNNNNNNNNNNNNNNNNNNNNNNNNNNNNNNNNNNNNNNNNNNNNNNNNNNNNNNNNNNNNNNNNNNNNNNNNNNNNNNNNNNNNNNNNNNNNNNNNNNNNNNNNNNNNNNNNNNNNNNNNNNNNNNNNNNNNNNNNNNNNNNNNNNNNNNNNNNNNNNNNNNNNNNNNNNNNNNNNNNNNNNNNNNNNNNNNNNNNNNNNNNNNNNNNNNNNNNNNNNNNNNNNNNNNNNNNNNNNNNNNNNNNNNNNNNNNNNNNNNNNNNNNNNNNNNNNNNNNNNNNNNNNNNNNNNNNNNNNNNNNNNNNNNNNNNNNNNNNNNNNNNNNNNNNNNNNNNNNNNNNNNNNNNNNNNNNNNNNNNNNNNNNNCACGCCAUCUUGCCGCGACCACCGCACCAGUCUCCGGCGCCACCUCUCGCCCUCCCACCUCCCCCCGCCGCAUCGCGGCGCGCGUCCCCGAGCCCGCAACCACCGCACCAGUCUCCGGCUUCACCUCUCGCCCUCUGACCUCCCCCCGCCGCAUCGCGGCGCGCGUCGCCGAGCCUGCAACCACCGCGCCAUCUAGCCGCGACCACCGCACCAUGCUCCGGUGAGACGUGUGCGACUGCUGUCGACGCACGCAUGGAGCUUCAUCGCCCAGACGCGGGUGCUGGAUCCCGUCGCCCUCCGGUCGGAUCCGCGGCGGUGCUGGUCUCCGGCGAGUUCGACGGUGGAUCCGCAGCGCGGUGCCUCGAUCUACAACGCCAGCAGCUCCGGUACGCAUUUUCUGUGUAUUUUCAUAUGAUUUACAUGUGGAUCCGCACCAAUAUUUGAUUUCAAUUUUGUGUGCUUGUAUGCUAUAUUUUGUAUAUACAGAUUAUUCUUGUAUGGAGAGACCAGGGGUGUGCUUCAGGGGUUCUGAAUGAAGUAGGUCGAGGCGUUGAUGUUGUGUCCAGGCUUUUCUUUUAUACAAUGGUGGCGAUGAGGGAUGAAGUAUGUGAGGAUCAGUAAUGUUGUCGCACGACAAUGUCCGUUCACUCAUGGGUUUUCUCAAGGUGAGGUGGUAUCUUUUAUUUCUGUGCAUAUGUGUGUUCGUCUGAAUUAUUACUUUUGCAUGCACAUUUGUUGUUUGCAUUUGCACCUGCGGAUGUACAUACAUAAUCAUACCAAAACAACAUGCACUAAUUUAUGGAUAGUUGUUUUCUAAUCAGUCAUCUACUACAACCAAGAUUUCUCUAGAAUAUUAACUCUUGAGAUCACGCAACUGAGAGUGAGUGUAGUGAGUGUGCGGCGUUGUCCAAUCCAAUUUGCUUAGAUUCGUAAAAGAACCUUCAUGUUAAAUUUUGUCGAAGUGCUUGCUUGCGUCAUGAUCCUUGUAACUACAACUAUAAUUCAGAAGAACAGGGAAGAGUGAAACACUGAAUGAGGUCUGGUCUUUGCUCUGCCUUAGAAUUGUAAAACAAACGCAUAACGUACAUAGUUUUUUACAAACAAAGUGGAUUUUUAAUUAGAAGUCAAACUGUCGUUAUGAUUUUUAGUCUAAAAGGUAUGUGAUCGUCAUCUUAGAAUGCCAGUAUGACACAAGUAGUGCCAGUAUGCACGUGCAUUGCUGCCUAUUUGUAUGAAGGUUUGACAUUUUCAUUACCAACAGCCCGACUGUUAGAGCUUCAAUUUUUUUUUUGCAAAACACUAUUUGUCCAUUUUGGCAAGGACAAGCCUACUGUAUGUCCACUUGUUUACCCACUGGGUCCGUUUACUUCAGAACUAAAAUUAGAGACCUAGCUAUAUUGAUGAGAUGCUGUCAACCCAGCAUAUAGAAGUGUUAAAAGGAAGAGUUUUAUGGCACAGGAUAAAAGAGUUCCUUUUUUUUUGCAAAAUAUAAGGAACACAAAGUAGCAACAGCAUUGAUCUAUAGACGUUUGUGACAGUUAACGUACAAGGUGAAAAUGUCCUCUAAUUUGGUAAAGGCAUGCAAAUUUUCUAAAUUUCAAUAUUCUAGGCGUGCCCUGAACUGAUCUCCUACUCGCUGCUCUAUCGAGGCGCCGUGACCCGGCCUCACAGGCAGGGCCAGGGCGAAGACUGCUCCCCGACGGCCAAGACACGGCCACGGUGGUGCAGCCUGUGGUCUACAUCGCCUACCACUCCGCCGUCUUCCGGAACCCCCACCACUUCCGCGGCAAGGUGAGACAGACGGCCCCUCCAUGACGACAACAACAAUAAUUACCGUAGCAUGCCUCUUUCUUGGUAAUUAGUUGUUGCACUCAAUUCAAUUAGCCUACUAACUAAUCUAGUCCAUUAUUAAUUAUUUCUCUUCCACUGUUUCGGUAUCUCUUGGUUUGCAUUGGACAACUAUGUGAUGAAAACACAUCACCAGUUUUGGUUCAAUUUCUAUGUAUGCACAUGAUUCAAGUUUCUUCAAUGAAUGAAUAUGCAGCAGCAUUUUUUGGUUCAAGCAAUGUAUAGAUUCUGUUAUUACCAUUGGUCCUUUAAGUUUGUUUGUUUCAAGUGAUUUGGCUUAUUACUGCUCUCAUGGCCAUAAUUCUGCUCUAUGGUUGUUUACACCUGCCCAUGGCAUGCUAAUGUUUGAAGCCGCCUCUGCUCUCAGACUAAAGCUAUAUGUAAUAUGGUUCAGAUCGUCCAUGGAGCGGACGAGACGGCGACGUCGGCAGGAGGGCACUUUGCAGCCCCUGGACUGAGGAGGAUGGGCGCACAUAGCCACCAAGCCCUCUGCUCCUCUUCUUCCAAGGCGAGCGAUCAAGGGUCCCGAGCUCGACGAGUCCAGCCUGGCCACCACGACGCAUUGCUCCCAGCAGGUAGCACGUCCCUCUCCCUCUCCUCACUCACCUGCUACUAUGCUAAUAUUCCAGUGAUUGCUAUUUGUUAGCUAGCUAGUUAAACGACCUGCUUUUCUGCUAAAUAAAUGCCCCAUUAGCUAGGUAGAGGCAGUGUGCUAUGCAUGUGGUUGUUUAGAUUCUUGCAUAUGUAAUGUAAAAUAAAUGAAAAUAUAGGCUGAUUCUACUGUAAUGCAUUAUUAGUCUCAAAACCAAGUUCUUGCAUAAUCACCAACACAUUAUUGACUGGUUAUUUGUGAGAAUCUCACUAAAUGGGUAUUUGGGUGCUAUGAUGUGCACGUGUUGGAUAAGAUCAGGUUUGAGACCCUGACCAAGUCCUCGUGAACAACCUUGGUACCAUUGCAAGGUUGGGCGAGAAGGAUUUCAUGGGGGCUGUAGCUGCUGGCAUCGACGUGUCCAUGAUUGGUCAGUUUGGUGUCAGUUUCUACUCCGCUUACCUUGUUAAUGAGUAGUAUGUGUGGGAGUCCCAGGAUGGUGGUUCCUUCACUGUGAGACAUGAUACUACUGGAGAGCCCCUUGGAAGGGGUACUAAGAUAACCCUAUACCUCAAGGACAAUCAGGUACAGCAAAACACAAGUCUUGUCACUAUUUACAUGCUCAUGCUAAAUAUGUUCUUGUGGGGCAUUCAGAAUUUCUAUGAAUGUACCGUUAAAUUGAAAUGUUGUUCAUGUGUUGCUUUUGUUUCUAUGCUGUGGGGUUGUAGAUUGGAAGACUGUUUGAUUGAUGAUGCUUAGUUUUAGGAGAAAUUCAGGGAUUUGUUUUGGUUAACACACUUCACGCCCAUCUGAAACAUCUUCGUUUUGAAGAUGUUGAAUAUGCUCCUUGGAGAAGUCUUCUUCUACUGCUUGCCGUCUAAAAUAUUAUCUUUAGAAUAUAGUGCUUCUGAAGUUGACUUGUCACUGUAGCUGUGAUAUGAACUGUAGUGUCCAACUCAUCCAUUUCAUAUUUGUACAUGGAACAUGUAUCUUUGAAUCAAAGUUAUCCUUAAAACCACAUUUUUGUAACUGAGUCUUGGAAUCAAAGUUAUUGUUAAAAUUUGAGCUCCUAAAAUUCUCAGUUCGGUUUAAAUAUAGACCUUGCACGUGUUCUUGCUGUCACACUUCAUUUUGUUUUCAACGUUCCUCAUUACUUCUCAACUCUACCAUUUGAAUAGCAAAGCGGAAGAGAAACCGAAGGAGUGCCAAGGAGCAGCAAAACGGCUCGACAAGGCUCUCUUGGUUAGUAUGGUUCCAUGAAAUUUGUGAGUCUUGGCGCAACAUACUUUUUUGGUCUUAUCCCUGAUUUGUGUUCUCUCACUGCCUAGGCAGGGUUUUGACUUUCCUGUAUAUGCCUAUGCCAUGGAUAAUUAUAAGGUGAAGUUUGUUUGAUUUCCUCACUGCCUGUAAUCAUGGUUUCAGUUUAUCGGUAUAAAGUUCUUACUAUUGUUAUUUACAUGGCUUAUGGUUAAUUAUAUGGUUCCUGGUUAUGCCCUGAUUAGUCAGCACCAUCUCUGCAAUGGUUGUUGUUAUGCCAUCGUAAUUCUGGUUAUGCAUGAUUUUGGUAGGGUCUAUUCUUAGUUUUGGAGUUAAAUUAUGCUACUGUUUACAACAUGGCAUUUGAGGCAUAAUUCUUUAACAAAGGCAUGUGUAUGUGUUGUGCAAUGUGUAUUGCAUUCAUUGACAGUGUAUUGUAUAUUUGAGCAAUUUUCUGUUUUAUUUCUAAGCUGGCAAUGGGAGCAGCAUAAUUGACUUGGCUUCUCAACAACUAAUUACCAAGAAAGAGGCAUGCUACGGUAAUUACUGUUGUGGUCUUGUAUACCCUCAUAAUUAUUUGUUGUUGUCGUCAUGUAUAAAUAGCCAGAUUCUUUUUUGGUUUUUUCUUGGGCGUCGAUGAGCACAGUAGCUCGGAGGAGGCCACCAUGGAGCUGAUGCCACCUCGGCAAACAAAACCUGUGCAUAACGAGAACGACGAGGCGAGCCAAUACUACAGAGGAGCUGAACCAUAGUGAGGUAUUAAUUUUAAGUAGCAAUAUUGGUUGCUAGCAUAGGAAAGGUUUGACGUAUCUGUCCACCUUUUAACAUAUAAGUAUCUAAAUACUGAAUAAUGAUUAUGGUGCUUUAAGACAAUCAGGUGCCGUUUGGUUUAGCAUAUAAGUGUCUAAUUACUAUAUAUAGGUAUCUAUCCACACUUUGCUUUAACAAUCAGACAUCAUUUUCUUCAUCUUGCUAGCUCCAGUUUGUUGUAGAGGAACUAUAGUGAUCUAUGACCGGACUUCCUGUUGAUUUAGUGAUUUAUGAUUCCUACAAGUAUAUAGGAAUAUUUUAGCUCCAUCAUAGGAAAAAUAAUCUGAAAUAGAGUUUCGGUGAACUUGAAUAUCAUGGCAUGCACUUGCUUCAUUUACCUAGUUAACAAUAAAAAGGCCAAGUCUUUCAUAUUGAAAUGGCAUUUUUUUGUUCAACAUGAUAUUGUGAUUCUAGCCUCAUUUAGUCUGUGUUGCAGGUUAAGAAAUUUACAGUUUAAAAAUUAAUAUAGCAGCGAUCCCCUUCCUAUAGUAAAAAUUGCUUAUCAGGAAUCCUCAUAUUACAAAAAUCCAUCAAUGGUUAUGUAAAAUACAUAAUAUUCACUGUUGUUGGCAUUUUCACAAUUAGCUUGAAUUUAUCUCACUGCAAUUCAUUGCUCAUGGCUUCUACUGGCUUUUCUGUUUUGAAUGUUCUCUUUCUUUAGGAAUCUGGCUAUCUGGCUAUUGUUUGGUGCUAACUGUUGUGGUAAGUCAUAUUAUAUCUUGUGUCAAUAGUCUGUAUAAUUUUUUGCAUCAUUUGCACUCAUACGCCUUUUUUUAAUGAUGGUAAUAUAGGGAGCGCAUGUACGUGCAACUGUGGAAUGAUAACCCAAACCACCUCAAUCAGAAAGGGGAGGCCAAAAUAUGAUAUGGUUUAGUACCAGUUGAUUGAGCAACAGAAGGUAAUGCCUAUCUUAGUAAUUCUAAGCUCAUUUCCCCCCAAUAAGUGUUCCUUUGUUACCUGUAUUUUAAUUAUUAUUCAGUGAAUUAAAUCAGAAGCUACUUCUAUCAAAAAGCAGUUUCCUUUCCUAUGAGGCUAUGAUGGCAAUCAAUAUUUUUGUAGUAUACCUCAACCAAACAUACUUUUGAUAGUACACCUCAAGCAAACAUAACAACUAUUACAGUUUUAGAGAAAAUAAAGAUCCAGAAUUGUUCAUACCUAGAGGUACUCGCCUUCUUGAUGCUCCUUGCUUACACAGAGUACUCCUUGGGAACUUCUCCUCCAGGUCUGGCUGUUGUGAUGGACGAAAGAAGAGCAAGGAGGGGGAGGAGGGAUGGCAGAGGAGGUUCACAUAUAUAGGUAGGCCAUGAGGAGGAUAACUGGCUAGCAGAUCAUUGCUUAAUCUAGCACUACCAUAUAUACCUGUCCCCUGCACAUCUAUUUCCUUUUUCCAUCAAAAUCACACCUGUUAAUAAAUUAGGCAUUGACGGAUUUUACAAGAUGUUAACAUAAAAUGGUAGGCCAUGCAGAGGAAGGCUGGGUAGCACAUGUCUUUGCUUUUUUCAUAUAUAUACUUAUGUAUGGUGCAGAUAUCUUUCCUUUUUUCAUCAAACACAUAACUUUUAAUAAUUUAUUAGAAAAGAAGUCAGAAAUCAAAACUUACUAUAAAAUUAGAUUGUCCUUAAUGUCCUAUCCAUACUUUAGAUCAUGAUGAUGUCAAUUGUCAUGCCUUAAUUUUUUUGUGGUACUCAUUUUUUCCAAAAUGCUUAUGUUCUUACACAUAAGCUUCAUGAACUUAUCAUUGAUUAGCAUGUAUCAAAAUAGAACAUUCACGGCGUGCACACUAACAUAUCUACUAUUAACGUGGUUCUAGUUGUGUACUGUAGGGUACUGAUCAAUAAGAAAAACCAUGCAUAUAUCAUUUAUUUUACUCUAUUCAGGAACAGAUAAAAAAUAAUCAGCGUUUAAUCGCUAGCUGGAAUUUAAGGCAACGGCGAGAGAGGAAGAUCAAGGACAACUUCAGGAUUAAAUAAUAUAUGCAAGGUACGUGCCGUAUGACCUUCAUAUGUUUAUUUACUAUUCUAUAGCUGGAAUGUGAUUAUUUAUGAAGAAUAAAGUAUACAUCAUAUCGUAUAACAGUGCGUGUAUGGAUGAAGUUAUACGAUACGAGAUUAGCUACAGCAAAAGAAAAUUAACGACGUACACAAUAACGAUGAAAUAUUAAUGAAUUUAUUUGUUCACUUAAAUAAUUCACUGAAAAAAAUGACCAGGAAAGCACUACGUGCUAAUCAUGCAUUUUAAUUUGCAUUGCAAAAUUAGGCAGUGAGAACUGUUCAUCGGUACAAAGGCUAGGGGUGUGGCACAAUUGUAAUCUAAAUAAUAGUCUAAUAGGCUAAAUUAUGUGUAUAAACAAUUGCCAAAAGCUAGGGAUCGCCGGCGCAUUGUUUCCAAUGAUGGGCUCCAUCGCUGAUCGAUACGCGUGAGUGAUCAUUCACUGAGGUGUCUUGGCAAUUAGGAUGUCGAUGCAGCAUAUAUAUAAACGGAUAUAUUUUUAAUGCUUUUUAUUGCCUGCCAAAUAUAUCAAGUCGUAUUUAAGACGUAGAUGAUUCUUUCUAAUUAUAAAAAACAUGACAGGGGCGUAUCAGAUCUUUCUCCUUUUUUAUAGUUGAAUAUUUUGUUCCUAAGGCAUGACAUAUUUACAGUUCAAUCUCAACGAAUCGAAAAAAAAUCAACCUUUGUAUAAAACCAGAUAUCCCAAAUUAAGUACGCGUGCAAAUAAUACAUACUGCCAUAAUGGCUACACUUAGAGUUGACAAGCAAAAAGAAAACACACUUUAACAGAAAUGAUUGUUCUGUGUGAAUACAUUAUUAUUCCAAAUGUAGAUAAAAGGACCGAGGAAAACGAGCUUUUUAUUGAGCCGUGUUGAAAAACAAAGUCAUCUACUGUCCAUUUUUCCUGGCUACAACUGCAGCAUUGACGUAUGAUAGUGUUUCGUCAAGUGUCAUUAAGCAGGCUUCGUGGAUAUCUACGUAAAAACAAUUUGUUAGUACUAAUAACAUCGUAAUACAGAAAAGAACAAAAAGCCAUAAAAAUCGAAAUAGUUUAUAUAACUUACAUUGAAGAUGAUGAACAUCAUCAUUAAUGUUGGGGGAGAACAAGAAUGUGCUCUCCCUCAUAGUCUCCAUGCACUUAUCCCUCCGGUUUACCUGUAUGUACGUAACUGCAAUUUUAUCGAACAAAUUUUCAGUGCUCUGCAAGUGGUACAAGUGACGACCAGCAUGCUCUUGACUUAGGCGUAUAAACAGUAUCUCCCGUCUAGAAUGAUAAAGAUAUGUUGAUGGUAGGCAACUAUCAAAUAUUAAUAAUCAUAUAAAACCUCAAGUACUGAUUGGAAUUUACCGAAAAUUCAUGAUGCCUAUCUCAACAAAAUGGACAUGCCGUCUAUAUACUGAAUCCCACCUAUGUUGUAUCCUACCAGCAUAGACAAGAAUACCAAGAACAUCUGGAAAAAAUUAAGUCUGGGUGAGACAAAAUGUUAAAUCGAUAAAUAUGCAAAAACAAACUAAAAGAUGUUGCACCGGUAAUGGUUUUGUCCCGUAGCAAGGAUAUGGCACCAAGUUGUGGGAAAAAUGGUGGACAGAUUGUCGAUGCAAUACUGUGCACCGAUGUCCUAACCAUAGUUAUAGCAUUUAGUUCAAUGACAAACUCCAUGCAUAGAUACCAGAAGUGACCAUCUAGCAUUUCCGUGGGGUUUAUCCCGACGCUACUGAAGUCAUAUGUUAGCCCGGUCUGCAGAAUGGCGUUGAAUCGAUAAGCUUGGUUGCUGAAGGCAAUUGCUUCAAUCUUUGUUCCCUAGAAAUAUUUAAAAAUUCAGAUAACAAGACUUUAGAACACAUGUGUAUAUACAUUAAAAAAGGUUGCUAUAUUUAGUGAUCACUAAUCUCAUACUUCCUGGUCCAGAAGUAUGCAACGAAAGUAUGGGUUUCCCAUUGCAUGCACCCUGAUAUGGGACUUCCACAUCACCUUAGCUCGAAUUAUCCAACAUCUUUGAUAGAUAUGUUCCAUCUGUACACUUUGAAAAUUCAGGUACCUACAUAAAAUAAUACGAACUGAUGGGAUAAACAAACGGUGAUGUCAGAUAAGCGUGCAUGAAGAUCUGUACACUUGCCUGUUCAUUGGAGGGAUGGUAGGCAGAGGCAUGAUGGGAUCCGGUGGAUUCGCCAUCACCCUCCUCGAGGGCCUCGAGCUGUACGGUAUCACCAUGGUCAGGGAGCUAAUGGAUGAAGUGUUAAAGAAAGAUAGAGGGGCGCACGGGCACGGGUAUUGGCAUUUAUAUAUAUAGUCCAAGGAGCCCACAGGCGGGAAAAUCAAAAUUCUUUCAAUUAUUUGCAUGUGGCCGUCUAGCGAAAAAAAACCUCUACUAUCGAAACUAUUAUAAAUAGUAAGUUAUGAGAGUUCUUUGGCAACAAAAAAUUUAUUGCUAAAACUUUUUAAAUCAAUUAAUUAUUUAUAGAUAUUUCAGAUUCUUAAUCUGAUCGAAAUCAUGUCAAUUAUCUCACCAGUAUCAUUGUUUCCUUUUCGCCUGUGAAUCCCCUAUAUUCAAUAUAACAAACUGCGGGAAUAUAAUGAUGACUUCAGAUUUUUAGUUAGGAACGCAAUAAUUGGAUAUAUCAAAAUAAUUAAGGUGAUAGUGCGUUAAGGUAAGUGUAGUCACGCAAUUAAUAUAUUACCAUGGAUUCGCCAAUAUUUCGUCGAUUAAAUAUAUUACCAUUAAUUACCAACAUGUAAUCAAUUUCAAAAAUCGAUUAUUUACUCAGCUUUUAUUAUACUAUAUGUUCUUAAAAAAAUCCCAACAUAUUUGAUUUUAUAACAUGUGAUGAGACGUCGUUGUGUUACUUUGCAACGACUAUUUUACGGGCAUUUUAAAAUAGUAACAAAAAAUUCAAUCGAAGUUAUUAGCAAUAGUAAUAAUUUGUUCAGUCGGUCUUUGAUGGCUUGAUUCGUUGGUCGCGGUUGCAUGCACAAUUGAGUAUGCGCGUGAAAAGCUAACUUCGAUCUGUUUUUUAAUUAGCGUCUCUUUUUUAAUUUGAUUCUGUAUGCACAGUAUAGUAACAGCCGCACUUUCAAAACCAGCAUGCUUAAUUGAGAAGCCUGUGCGUUUUGUGACGUAAGUUAGUUAAUAUAGCACAAACGCAGUAAAUGCCAUUUGUAAUAAAAAGAAUAUUUCGAUGGAAGUACGGAUUACAGCAUUUGUACCGCGUAUUCAUAUAAGAAAAAGAAAAAAUAGCAUGUUCGGCGACAAAGCUCAAAGGGAAGAUAAAAACAGAGAGUAAGAAAGCAAGCAUGAAACAAUAUCUGUUCUUUAUUCAUACUUUCAUAGUUUGACUCCAAAUCGAUUACAAUGCAAAAUGCUCUUAAGGAGCAUUGAAACAUAAAACAUAAAAAGCUGUAAAGAAUAUUGUAUAACUCCUCAUGAUUGCUCCUUUCAAGGCAUUUCCGUCUUCUUGUCGCAUGUUUGCAUGUGCUUCACAACCAUAUGUUCCAACUGAUUGAUCUUCUUUAUGAGAGUUUGCAUCAGCUUGUUGCUCUCCUUGGUUGCCUGCAGAAUUUGAUCGUUGCUAGUACCCUAACCGUCCCCCAAACCUUCUUUCCUAUCGUCUUUCGUAACGGGAUAUCUACUACUAAUAGGCAGGUUAAUAGGCUCGACGUGAUUAUGCAUCCUAAGCCUUUUUGGCUUUGGUGUGUUACCCUUACCAAAGGGACGCAUCGGCGUAGCGCCGUCAUGAUCUUCCAGUUCACCGAAAUCUUCACUUUCUUCUUCUUGCCAACGAAGCAUGUGAAUUGAACUGUUGGAUGACGCCAUGUGAGAGGAGGAUGGAGAGGUCUGGUAAGGUCGCUGGAACUGUUGAUCUAUAUAUAAGCGUUUCUAGGAAGCUCUGAAUACGAAAUCGGUAAACAAAUCGACCGAUUUGGUCACAAUCAAAUAUUAAUUAAUGGGAUCAAUUUUGUGAUUCGGUGAGUAGAACCUACUAUAUUAUUACAAGACAAAAUAGAUAACCUGUCUUAAGAUUUCAUGUGUGAUAAACCGAUUAGGAAUUUUUUAAAAGGAAGCAAAUAAAAUAGUUAACAUGCACGUAUUGUACAUUUUUCAAAAACACUUCUAAAAUUUCCUUAUACACGGGAUUUUUUUAAAACUAUGUUGAAUACUGUUUUCUUCAAAUGCAUUAACACUUCAUUCAAGUUUGUGCCAGCUGUAACAUUUACUUACAUUUCCUUGUUCAAACAGGAAAGAAAACAUCAAAAAAUAAACAUGAAUUAGGGAAAUAAAUAAAAAGAAACCUAUUGAGAUCAGCUUACAACUCUUUCUUGCAUUUCAUGUGUAAUACCUCAUGUAUAUCAAAAAAUAUAAUUGGACUACAAAUCAUUCAGUCCAACACAGCAUUGCAAAAGAUCAUAUUUAUUAUUCUUUUUCAUCACAACAAUCUGUAUAACAUACAUACGUACAUAUGAGAAAUAGUAGUAGAAGUACACGCUCCCAUAGCUAGGAAACAACAUAAAUUUGUGUAUUUAUGCGUACGCAUUAGCAGCAACGGUAUUACACACAUGCACUAUCUGUUUAUGCAUUAGCAGAAGUAACACAUCAGCGGCAUCAUUCGUUAAGAAAAAUUACGCUUGUAGAAAAUCUAUAUCAGCGAUGAUGGUGUAUACAUACAAAUAUUUUAGGUCUGACCUAUUACAGAUGCACAGUAAAUUCAUGAUGGUAAAUGAACCAAUGCAAAAAAAAAAUAUGUAACCUGAACUGAACUGUUAAAUAAUUAGUUUAGAUACGUGAAAGUAUCAAGUAUUCUAAUUUUUUUCCAAAUAUUGUACACUUCAACAAUCACACAUGUCAGUUGUCACAUUUUUUCAAAGUCGCAUGGGCAUAUAAACUUAUUCGCAUGUACGCAGGCUAGCUUUUUAUUAUUUAUUUGUAGUACAUAUGCAAAAUAUAUAUUCACAAGCUUCACAAACUUCCCUCCUGCGUGUGUUGGUCUUAUAAUUCAGACCAAUCACAAUAUUAUAGUUCUGACCUAGCAAAUGAUUGUAGAGGAUCAUAAGGACGUCCAUAAACUUACAUUCAAACAUACUAUCAAAAUACCAAAAUAAUAAGAACAGAUAUGUUAAUUUGCCGCAAUACAAUAGUUUCAUUGGAUGUUCCAGGUCUUUAUCCUGCCAAUCACUAUAUCUGAAUCACAUAUUACACAUGAAAAAGUACGCUUGUAGAAAAUCUAUAUCAGCGAUGAUGUUGUAUACAUCCAAAUAUAAAAAUACCAAAUAAAAAAAAUAUGUAAAAGAAACGAAAUUCAGCAUAUCUUGACCAUCGCAAGAGUAAAUGCUCUGUCAUUACUAAACCUGCUAGUCUAUUAAGACCGAACUUCAGCCUGUAAGGACUUCCUUGUAGACGAUAUUCUUCAUCGAGGUCAGUAAGGACACAGUCGGUCUUUUUCGCUUCUUUGGAUUUCCCUUUAGCUUGUUGGCCUUCUCCUUCGGCUUCUCCUUCUGAAUGAGUAUCUUUAUGUUUCUCUUCGCGGUGGCUCGAGACAAAGCAACAUAGAGCUGACCAUGAGAGAACACGGGAUUGGGUAGGUAGACACCAACUAUCGGUAUGGUCUGCCCUUGAGCCUUGUUAAUGGUCAUAGCAAAGGUAAGCCUUAUAGGAAAUUGCUUUCUCUUAAACUUGAACGGAAACAUGUCGUUUUCAGAUGGGCAGAGAGGUAUUCGAGGAAGGAAGACCCUCCUGCCAGCGUGUUGACCAAUCACGAUUUCUGCAUCAAUGGUGUUCCUCUCAAAACCUCUUACAACAAGCCUAGUGCCGUUACACAGUCCAUUAGCUGGAUCAAUGUUCCUUAGAAGUAUGACAGGGCAGUUCAACUUUAGCUUGAGUGCAUGCGGAGGAAGACCAUUAGGAGUCAAUCCAUUAAGAAACUCCUGAGCGUAGUAGCCAUAUGGGUCGUCCUCUGCAAUGUCAAAGCUAUGGUAGAUUACUUCAUCUCCAUGAAAACGGUCUAUCAUGCGGAUGUUUAUCUUGUCGACAUUGUCGUUUGUCGUGGAAAGGAUUGCUCGAGAUGUCAUGUAAUUGGAAUCAGACAUGUUGUCAUCUAGACUCGGAAACACGUGGUCAAUAAGUUUCUCCAGGUCGUCAACCUCGCCUGUAGACGGCAGGCAAAUAUCUUCAGGGAGUAGUAUGUUUCCUUGAUCGUCUACAUCCUCAGUGCCAUUGCCGACCCUUAGCAAGUAAUCUGCAAACCACGUGUCAUUAUGAGCCCUCAUGUUGGUGAUGAGCCGAAGCUGCCGCAUACACUUCCACAGAUGAGAACUUCGGAGGGUUGCAUCAAUUAUCUGGCCCCGCGACCCCCUUCUGACGACCGGAAGCACCUGCCGAAAGUCCCCACCAAAAACAACAGUCUUUCCUCCAUAGGGUCGGUCACGUAUUCCCAUGAUGUCGCGCAUGCCGUUGUCCAAUGCCUCUACCGCUUGUCGCUUCGUCAUGCUGGCCUCGCCCCAUAUUAUCAAUGAGGCCAUCCUUAGGAGCUUGGCGGUCCCACUCUGCUUGGUGAAGCUGCACGAGGCUCCAUCAUCGCAACUCAAUGGGAUCUUGAACCUCGAGUGGGCAGUCCUGCCGCCAGGCAUGAUAGAAGCGGCGACGCCCGACGUCGUGGUAGCGAUACCAAUCUUGCCUUGGCUCCUCACCUUGGCAAGCAUUGCCCUGUAUAGGAAGGUCUUCCCUGUACCUCCAGGGCCAUCAACAAAGAAUACACCCCCAUCACCGCGUUCAACAGCCGUUAGUAUCUCGUCGUAAGCGGCCCUUUGUUCCAAGUUCAGCGAAGAUACCAACUUAGUGUCAUCCAUGUCAAACUCAACGGUUGUUUCCUCGAUGACCUCUCUUGCCUCGCCCUCGGUUGGGUCAAACGCAUCAUCUAUGCUCGGAAGAGCGAAAUCAACAAUAUCUUUACCCAUGGACUGCAACAUACCCCUAAUGUCUAGCAACACCAUCUGCUCCACCUCGUCAGGGGACGUGCGUGAUCGACGAUAGUCAUCUGACAUAGGCUCGAGGUGCCUAUCCCAUAAACCACGCACGUCGCCUGGCUCGCAGUGCACCAAGAUGGUUGCGAAGAGCCUCCUAAGAGAACAUGGCAUCGCCCACUGCUCAGCCUCAGUAAGACAGUCGUCGAGCGUGUUGUCUGCCUCGAUGAGUCCCAACCUUUCAGCAGCCUCUCUAAAGCUCCCACAUAGCACGCCGUCCACGGUGAGCAAGUCGUCAAAGGAUGUUUUUCCCGUAACAUGGUUUAGCAACACACGCAGAUAGUAUCGGUCCCCCUCGGCAGGAUUGGCAGACACGAUGCGACCUAUUUGAAAACGCUCGACCCGCGGCUUCCAAAACUUCUUUUUCUUCUGCCACGUGAAGCUUCCGGGAAAAUCCUUGUACAAUAUAUUUCUAGCCCGAGGGUGUUCCUGGUUAGCCUUGAAAUACUCCGUUAACAUGGAUUUUGAAAUAUUUUCUGAGGCGACAACAUUUUUCAAGUCGGCCUGGGCAUUGAAUGCGACCUUGUGCAUAUUCGGGAGAUGAAGAGGCAACUGCAAGACAGGAGGGUAGUUGGCGCAAAGUGGAAAGCCAAAUAUCCUCCACAUAGCCUCCGGAGGGGUGAUCCACCUUGCGUCAACGUAUCUCUUGAUCUCAUCAAUGUUACCAUCGGCGUCGGGCUGGUCGAUGCUGAAAGAAGCCUUAUCAUGGCCCUUGUAAAUGUACUUGUAAAGAUAUUUGACGGCCUUUAUGCUCGAGCGGACCUCAACGUUGAUGUGGCAAUUGAACAUCCGCAGAAGGUAUGGGUUAUAAGGCACAACCCAUCUGUUGUCCAACAUCUUCCCUCGGACCUUAGCACGCCUACCAUCGUCUCUACGUCGAUAAACUGGGUACGAGUCCUUCCCCUGUGCUGUGUUAUCAUUGAACGACCGCGGGUAUCUGCACUUGCAUCCGUUUUCUUGCAUGCAAACAUUCUUCGGGUUUAGAGCACCGCAUGGUCCGUGCAUCAUAUGUUUUACCACCAUUGCAUACAAUUCCGGAUACUUAUGCUUGUCUGGGAGCUCUGUGGAAAUGAGUCAGUCAUACUGCUCGGGGACGAUAAGCUUAUAUGUUGAGUCCAUGAUCAACAGAAAAUGUGCGUGUGGGAGGCCCCUUUUUUGAAACUCGACAACAUAUACAUAUGCGACGACAACACCCAGGAUGUGCUUCUUGAACAACAUGUCCUUCAUAGCCUCUAGUUUGCCAAAGAACACGCGAGCCACAAUAUCAGGUCGGUCUUGCGCCGUCUGACCAGGCAGCAACUCAUUCGUUAUCUCUUCCCAUUUUGGAUUGCAAGUCAUGGUCAAGAAGAUGUCAGGCUUCCCGUAUGUAUGUACAAUUGCCAUGGCAUCCAUAUGCCUCUUCUUCAUGUCGCGGUCGCCACCAGGGUAUGUUCCAGGGAGAACUAUUCUUACCCCAACAGCGCUUGCUCGUGUCUCCCCCGAUGUGAUCGCAUCAACAACUCCUUUAUACAAGUCGGCACGAAUCUGUGUCUGGUUCUUCCUGUACCACCUUAACCGACAACUUUCAAUCUUGACGUACAUGUCGACGGCCCAUUGCUGCAAGAGGCGUGCUCCACAGAGUAUGGGAUUAAAGAUCGCAGGCCGUGUCUGCAGCAUGUAACAGUAGUAGUCUCUGACAGAGACGCACAACCUGCUGUUGCCCUCUGCACAUGAUUGAGUACCAUAAAAAUGAGGAUAUAAUCGACAAACAAAAUAUUAUUUGUAGCAAAAUGGGACGCACACGGCAUACCUGCAUCCUCAUCAUCAUCAUGGACCAGUUGAGGAUUUAGUACAACCUCCAAAGGAACAUUACGUUUAGGUAGCUUCGGAUGCCAACCUAGUUCUCCCCUUGGAUAGAAUAGGGGAUAAGACAAAGGGUCAUAUGCUCCGGAGGUCACACGUAUACUGUGCCUUUCGUUGUUAUUACCACAAAGUGUUAUCCUCCGGUCAAACCUUUUUGCUAGGUCGUUGCCCUCAACCCAAAUUGCAGCGACCUCAGAUGACAACGGUCUGUUAUAUCUUCUUUGGUCAAGCCUUUUAUCGGUGUUUAGGUCUAUCCUGUAAUCAUCGAGGUUGUCCUUGUGUGCACCCAAACUCCUAAAUUGCUGGGAGUACGGGUUUUCUUUGAGUAUGUCUACUAACUUCUUCACGACAUCUUGGUCUAAUUGCUUGGUGGCCGCCUUACGAUGAGUGAUGGUUGGGUCAUCAUCAUAGAAGUAUAACUGCAGAUGCUCAGGACGGGAGCUAGGCCCGAACGAAUGCACAUUGUGGUAGAUGGUGCCGUGUGCCCGGAAUGUGUACACCCCAGACUUCAUGUUUGUGUAGUUCUCAUCAAGGCUGACGCCAAUGGUUGUGAAGGCGAAAUGCCCGUUGAAGAAGCGUAUGUUUUCCCGAAAAUGUCUAGAAUCUGCAUCCAUGCUUGACCAUAGCCUCAUCAGCUCUGGGAUUGGCUCAGGUUGUUUAAGUUCGAUCUGGCCAUUGCGAUAGCAGAAGCCGUCAGUCUCAGACACAAUUUUUUUUGCCUUGCAGUGUUUGCAGUUUGCGUCGAGCUUCAGGAUGUGAGUCGUGUCUGGGAUGUUUGUGUAGACAAAGUCUAAUGGAUCAACCUCGCUAGGUAUAGCAGACGACAUGAUCGCUUCCUCUUCAUCCUUCAAUGUGUCAUUAUCGUAUCCUACGUGCAUUUGUUGAAACAUGAUGUUCAAAACAUUAAUUACUACUAACUAUAAUUAUGAUAAAGCCCCACAAAUUCAUAGAUUAUAGUUGACCAUACCUUCGUCGUGACAUGUAGUACUCCUCAUCCAUAAAGUCGGAUGGUGUCAUCUCAUCGCCAGUGAUGCAGUCUCGGAACCCAUCGAUUUCGUCUGCAUUAUCUCCAUGGGAAUGUGAGAAUAGACAACGUCAUGUCAGAUGAGGGUUGGUGAGAAUGAGCACAACAAGGUGACAAUAGAAUUAUCAUACCAUUGGUACCAACAAUGAAAUUCGGCAUGAUUGUCGUCGGGUCGCCAUCAGAUGAAUCACCUUCGGCGGCCCGAGAGAGGGGUGUUGCGUGGGAUAAGUUUGCUAGGUCUGGACGUGGCAGUGAGAGUAGAGAGUACUGAUUAUGUUUUAUACUAACCUGAGUUCAGUUCGGAAGGCCGCGGUACACAUGUGACAUCACCAUCAGUGGGUUGAGGAACAACAACAACUGCGGUUUGUUCAGUGAUGGACUGAUCUGAAAUUGGUUCAUACAAGUAAAUAGACGGUCUAAUAAUAGAUGCAGCAAGCUGUGAGAGUAGUCAAAGCAGGAAUGCACAUUGUUUUCAUUAAAAAUCAAACAAUUAUACCGGAUGUUGAAAGGUAAGCUUGACUUUCAUGCUCAAGUUUCUUUGCUUCCUCCUCUUUCAUCCGCCGAUAAUUAGCUCGCCUCUUGGCGUUUAUCUGCUCCCUUUUUUCAUCAGAUAAGAUACCUUUUUUAGUUUGUUUGGUGAUAUUCUCGAAAGAUCCUGUAGUCAUGUGCUCGGAUGUUGAAACGGUUUGGGAUAAAUCUUGAGCAGUUGACAUAGUGUACAGGUGUAUUCCUCCAUCAAUAGGACACACAUCAAGAACAUCUGGAACAAAACAAAAGCUAAAUGUUAUUGUUCUGAGACUGUUCUUGAAUGUCUGCAACACAACCUCUAUAAGCAUGAUAAAUAACCGAGAUUGCCGGGUCUCCUUUUCAAUAUGUUUUUUGCUCACCUGAGUUCAGAUCGGGAGGCCGCUGAACACAUGUGAUAUCAGCAUCAGUGGGUUGGGGAACAACCGGGUCUGCGGUCUGUUCAGGUAUCGAGUGGCCUGGAGCAUGGUUCAUACAAGUAACUGAGAUUGAAGUCACUAACAUAAGAGAAUAAAAUGAUGAUUAGUCUAUCCGCACAGCCUCAUACCUGGACUAAUAGGGUGAUUAUCAACAACGUUUGUCCCAGCCAUCUGAUAUCCUACACCAACAGCUCCCACAAGUUAAAUAUCUGGAAGAACCGGUUGUCCAGACGGUUCAAGUGUCAACCCAUCUGAGUGUCAUUCAUACAAGUAAGCGAGAUCAAUUCGAUAAAUAAAUAGUAUUAAAUCAUGGUAAAUUGACAAUCCAACUGUCAUAAAUGGGGUACUCAGGUUGUUCUAACCAUCAUUUGUCCAAUCCAAAUUAUCUGAAACAACGUCAUUUAAGGAAAUCACAAUCGGGAUAUAGCUUGAGAUGUGCGGCAAGUUUUUUAGUCAAAGAUUUACCUCUAGGUACACCUGACGCUGUUGUAUGUUCCGCAGAUUUGCUUUGUGGAUUCCCCAUACUUACCUACAAGCAAAGAAUUCAUACUAUUAACAAUGGCUUGUGAACUGUAGUUGUCUACCAUCUUAAUGAUCUUAUUUUGUUAUGUUUCAUACUGAAGUUGUCUACCGUCAAUCAUUUAUUUUGUUAUCCCCUUCUGGACGCGCCCAGGAUCCAACUCCUGGCCUCCGUGUUGGGAGGUUUUAUGUAAACAGACUGAUUCUUAAUUGUUAUGUUUCAUGCACUUUUGUUCGUGAAGUAGGAGACAACUUGGAGACUAUGCUUAUUGGACAGGCUGCUUCUUGGCAGUGCAAAGUAAGCAGAACAAGCCACACAACCAAGCAACCAAAGUAAGUAAAAGCAGCACAAUCAGUUCCCACAAACAUGUACAACAACUAAACAUGUUCAGCAACAUGCGUAAACAGCUCCUAAGCUACUCUAUGCACAUCGACUUUGUCAUUCCAGUGAACGGGAACUUGAAUGCGGUCUUGGAAUCCUACAAACACAAAGCAGAAAAGGCUGCUAUGGACUAUGGAUUUCACAUGGCCAUUACCAAGUGGAAUGAUGAGGUUUCGAGGGAAAUGGAAGUGAUGGUCAAGGAACAUGGUGGGUGCAUACUCUCUUCUGCAUUCUUGGACUAUUCAGUUCAUGACGAACAUCCUCUGUGCCAAAUUUUCUCUUCUUUUCUGCAGUUGGAAGGCGAGGCAACUUCACGGGCAAUUCGAUUAGCAAAAUUCGUCAAUACACCGUUGUAUGUUGUUCAUGUGAUGAGUACUGAUGCAAUGGAAGAGAUUGCCAAGGCUAAAAGAGAAGGUAUGGUGCCUGCCCAUUUGGUUCAAACAAGUUCCUCAUCAAUGCAAAUUAAGACAGAGUUAUUUUAUGAACAUUUACUUUCAGAACAUUGGCUAGUUUCGGCUUUGUACAAAAAAAAUCAGGACUGGGUCGGUCCCAGAAUAACUUGUUGGGGCUUCAGAACUAAGUGGUCCCACGGGAUUGAUAAUACCCCAAAUCUAAGUACUAAGUUGAUUUAAAUUUUUCGCGCGUGUCAAAUUGUGAAACAAACUGUAAGUUGACUUAAGCUCAAACUUUGCAGGUCAGAGAGUCAUCGGGGAAAGGUCAGGUUGACUUCCAUGUUGUACUUUUUCUGGAAGGGCACCAUUGUUCUGCAAGCGCAAUGGAUAUCCAACCAUUGCCACAUCCCAGCUGUGCGACGGUCUUAUUCCUGAAAAUGGAAUCUGGAUCUGGAUGAUGAUUUAUGCCCUCGUAGAGAGUGAUGGACCUAUCUCCGGGGCCGAAAAUGCUAGGUAUGUCCAUCAUUAUAAGCUUCCUUCUUUGCUGGGGUCCUAAAAGCAUUCGAUAAAUUCUUAUGCAACCAGAACCAAAAUCACAAAUAUUGAAAGUUCACACAUGAAUAAUGAUGCUUAGAGGCCAUGAAAACUAUUGUGAAACAACAACCCGUACUACACACGCAUGUAAUAAAAUACUCCUCUAAAUAAAUCGCUUGAUCAAUGCCCUACUGUAUUCUGAUCUCAUCUGAAUUUUCCUUGACCCUUUCUAAUUAUGGAUUUUUUAGAAGCUAUCUCAGGUCAGGUGCUUAGGACAAGAAACCUCGAGCCUGCUUUUGGUUCACUUUGUCAUCCGCGGUUUUUUACCUAGUAAUAAUAGAUGUUUUUUCUUUGUUUCCUAUUGAGAAAUGCACAUGCAUAAUGAAAUCCAUUAGAGGGCUGUUAGGAAUCAGAUGCCCUAAGAAAGUGAUGCUCACAGAAAGUAAAAUUUUGAAGCAAACCUAACAGCUGAACCGCAGCCGAGUAAAAUAUGUCAGACAUAUUCCAAAUUUACACAAACCAAUUUCAAAGUUCAGUAACAAACAAGUACUACUACCAAUUGCAGAUUCUUGGCUUUGGGAUCCUGACUUUGCAACUGCUUCAAAGUAAAUAGAACACACACAUAAUAAUAGAUGCCCUACUGUAUUCUGAUCUCAUAUGAAUUUUCCCUGACCCUUUCUAAUUAUGGAUUUUUUAGAAGAUAUCUCAGGUCAGGUGCUUAGGACAAGAAACCUCGAGCCUGCUUUUGGUUCACUUUGUCAUCCGCGGUUUUUUACCUAGUAAUAAUAGAUGUUUUUCCUUUGUUUCCUAUUGAGAAAUGCACUUGCAUAAUGAAUUCCAUUAGAGGGCUGUUAGGAAUCAGAUGCCCUAAGAAAGGGAUGCUCACAGAAAGUAAAAUUUUGAAGCAAACCUAACAGCUGAACCGCAGCCGAGUAAAAUAUGUCAGACAUAUUCCAAAUUUACACAAACCAAUUUCAAAGUUCAGUAACAAACAAUUACUACUAUUCUUGGUUUUGGGAUCCUGACUUUGCAACUGCUUCAAAGUAAAUAGAACACACACAAUCAGUAUAUGUUUAUGUACCUGUGGUUCCUCUUAUUUCAUAUCUUGAUUCGCCAAUACAGCAGAAGUUGGAUUCUGGGCGCGUCCAGAAGCGGAUCGCCGGCCGAUCCUGAGCGCCUCGGUCUCCCAGUCCACGUCCUUCAAGUCGCCGACUCCUGAUAUGAUUUUCUGUAUGACCUUGUGUAAUAACUAUUGUGUAUGAACUUGCGUUACUUACUACUGAAAGGGGAGCAGCGCCUGUCGAGACCCUGUGCGUGUCCAGAAGGGUACAAUUGUGUAUGAACUUGCAUUACUUACUACUGAAAGGGGAGCAGCACCUGUCGAGACCCUGUGCGUGUCCAGAAGGGGGUCGCCGUCGGAUCGGGGUCGUGAUCGCCCGCGUAUCUUUAUCGGGAUCGCGGCCCCAUCACCUCGCCCGAUCCCACAGCAGAUAGCCGCCUCCUGCAAGCGCGGCGGCGAAGGUUUGGAUCGGCCGCGGAGGGGGCGCAGGGGUGGAUCGGCCGCGGCACCGGAAUGGAUCGGCCGGGGAGGGGGAGUAGGGGUGGAUCGGGCGUGCGAUGGGGUGAGAUCGGGCGUUCGAAGGUCUGGUCGGUGGCGGAGAUCGAUCUGCUCUGGGCGAGCGGGUUUUUUGGCAAAGGUUUUUUUGCACAGAUGGGAUGAUGAUGAAAAAAAACGGUGGUUGGGGGAUGACGAAAAUAAACCAGCGAAAAUAAACCGCGCGGACUAUUCACCAACUGCUCCAUUAGGAGUAGAGAUGCCCCUCCCCCCUAAUAUUAUUGUUUUUGAAAACAUCCCUUAUAUUAAUUAAUUGGCAGAAGGUAAUUACAAUCAUUCAUUACAGCAUACACCACGCAGGGCGGGAUAGAGUUAACAAGCAACCCGUCGGACCUACUACUAAAGCUAAACUUAGCAAUCGUUAGUAAAAAAAACUAAACUUAGCAAUCUCAUGUGCCACCUCAUUGGCACGCCGAUUUAUUUUUGAAAAACUCAAAUUUUGGAACAACUUGGUGAUAUUCAGAGCUCUUUUUCUUCAUAUCAACGAGAGAUCUGUCAAGUUCAUUUGCAAGAAAAGAAUGUACAAAAGCACAGUCAAUCUCCAAAAUAAUAGACUGGUUGCGGGUAUUACCGAUAUAAAAAUCCUGCUAGGCAGGUGCGGAGCUCAGCUUCAUUGACAUUGGUACACCGACCAAUAAAGUUGGAAUUAGGGAUCAGUAUUUGGCAAAUCUCUAAAAUUGGACUCUAUGAUAUUUUUUUUGUCUUUUCUUCUAAGCUUCCUAAAAUUGGAGCCUUCUAGUGCGUCGGGGGCUGUGGGGUCGCUAUGGACCCACCUGUAUGGAUGUGUGUCACUAGUUGUGAGUAACACAUACCUACAUAGUCGUAAUGGGCUGACCGAUUUUCUUAGUUUUGAUAAGGUAUUCCCUAAUUUUUUUGUCUUCUUCUUUUUUACCGGUUUCACAAUUUUUCUUUAUCUGUUUGCAUUUUUCUCAUUUCAUUUUUCACAUUUCAGCUCAUGGAUAUUUAUAAAAAUUGUGAACACUUCAAAAUCCAUGAUUUUUUAAAACCAUGUUUUUUUUCAAAUUUAACAAUAUUUUUUAAUUCUUGAAUAUUUUAAAGUUCACCAACACUUUUAAAUAUGCGAACCAAUAUUUUUAAUUUACAACAUUUUUAAAAAGCGGUGAACUUCUUCUUAUUCGACGAAAUAUCUUCAAAUAAAAAUAUGAUAUCCGUCUUUGUAGCUACCAAUAGAGCGGCAAAAAAAAGUUAAGCGAGCGAGCAAAGUAGGAAGCCAAGCUGAGCGAGAGAGAGCUUAAUAGGGCGGCCCAUGUGAGCGUUAUAAUAACCAUUCAACGAUUUCGGCAUCGAAUAAGAGCUCCCAAGGGACCCACACAACCUUUUUUUGUUUAUGUAGUGG
rnacentral:lncRNA from 1 species